rnacentral:sRNA from 1 species
GGAUUUGUCCUGGCCUCACUUCACGUGCUUAUAGGCCCCUGCUAAGUGGCGGGCAGUCUCCAGGACAUUAAGGACACAGUGGUGAAAGACACUAGCCCAAUCUAUAGAGAACUUCGAGACGGAAAUAGACAGACAGCUCCAACAAGGCAAAGGAACCCAUCUUCUACUUUGGUGAUGUGGAAUACUCUGUGGAUGAGAGUGCCGGCUAUGUGGAAGUGCAGGUGUGGAGAACGGGCACUGACCUGUCCAAGUCUUCUAGUGUCACAGUGAGGUCUCGGAAAACGGAUCCUCCCUCUGCAGAUGCUGGAACAGACUAUGUGGGCAUCAGCCGUAAUUUAGAUUUUGCACCUGGAGUCAACAUGCAGCCUGUUCGUGUUGUCAUUCUGGAUGACCUUGGACAACCAGUGCUGGAGGGAAUUGAGAAAUUUGAACUGGUGCUUCGCAUGCCUAUGAACGCAGCCCUUGGCGAGCCCAGCAAAGCCACAGUGUCCAUAAAUGACUCUGUCUCCGAUUUGCCUAAGAUGCAAUUCAAAGAACGAAUAUAUACUGGCAGCGAAAGUGAUGGGCAGAUAGUUACAAUGAUCCAUAGGAGCGGGGAUGUCCAGUACAGAUCUUCAGUGAGAUGCUACACCCGGCAGGGGUCUGCACAGGUGAUGAUGGACUUUGAAGAACGCCCAAACACUGAUACCUCCAUCAUCACAUUCCUCCCUG